rnacentral:lncRNA from 12 species
GGAGUGAUUAAAGACAAUGAAUCCAGACUUUUUAAAUGCAUUUACACAGCCUUCUACGCUUGAUCAGUUCUUAACUGAGGAUGCCAUCACUAAAGGUGAGAAGAGGAAACUCAUAAAACAGACUUCAAACAACCCCAA